GCGCCAGAGUGAGUGUUGACAUAUCAUGUGUACUGUAAAGCCGUGCAGACAUGUGCGGUCAUAAAUCCUUCGUUUUACCGCGCCUCCCGGAGUCAGCAGGUGCGGGUGUGCCAGGCCAUGCUACUGAGUGAGGGAGACUCCUGGCUAGGGACGAGAGCACAGUGGUAAUGUGUGGGUGGGCAGUCUUCCUGAAGGGUGGCUGACGGAGAGGGAGGUCCUGACGGCGGAGGAAGAAAAAAGAGACACGAAGCAGUAUUAGCGAUGACUUAUAAAAUCGGCACAGCUUCCUAGGCUAUAAGGCGAAGAAGACCGGGAAAAAAUAGAACACUCCAAAACUCCUCACCCGCUGCCCUUAACUAACACUGCCAGGCCUUCCAAGAACCAGUAACGGGGUAGCUGAGGACCGCCUCUUUGUCUUGUGGCUGCACCGAGGAAGAGGAAGCAGGGGAUACUAAGAAGUUUUAACAUUUUUAGAGAGAGAGAUGAUGUUAUGUAAUUAGGGAUACCAGAAAAGGCAGAAAAGGAAGCAAAUAAAGAAAGGCAAUAACAGAAACAAAUGGCACUGACUUCUCGCCAUCAUAUUACCAAAGACUUUACUCUAGUUACCUUCGUUCGUGUGGCAGUGGUCCUGUGUUCUGCCACGUUUGGGUGCCUCAUUUAAAAGUUGUAAUGUGUUGCUUGUUUAUUUUUUCAAGGUUGUUGCUUUAUUCAAGUGGCAGUUUAUGAAGAUUUCUGCAUUAUUAAAAAGAAAAUCUACUUGAGAGGUCUUAAGUUACA